CAUCCAGAAAUGAAAAGGAAAGAAUGUGAAGGUAGUAGAGCGAAUUUGAGGCAGUAGGUAAGGAUAGUAGAAGAAAGUGACAAGGUAGAUCAGCGGAGUAGAGAGAAUGUGAGGGAGUAGAUGAGGGGAAUAAGAGAGAAUGUCCGGGAGUAUAUGAGGGGAGUAGACAGAAAAUGUGAGGUGCGUAGAGAGCGGAGUAAAGAAAGAAUUUGAGGGAAGUUGGGAGAUUGUGAGGGGAGUAGGGAGAGUAUGUGAGGUAGAUGAUGAGGAGAAUAUGUGAGGUAGAUGAUGAGGGGAGUAUGUGAGGUAGAUGAUGAGGGGAGUAUGUGAGCUAGAGGAUGAGGGGAGUAUGUGAGCUAGAGGAUGAGGGGAGUAUGUGAGGUAGAUGAUGAGGGGAGUAUGUGAGGUAGAUGAUGAGGGGAGUAUGUGAGCUAGAGGAUGAGGGGAGUAUGUGAGGUAGAUGAUGAGGGGAGUAUGUGAGCUAGAGGAUGAGGGGGGCGAAUGAAGGUGUUAAUGUGCCGCUACAUCAGUGCUGCCAAACUUCCACGGUUCACGGUGAGGGAGAGAGAGCGCACAUCGAUGUCUGUGGUUGGUGUGGAAUCUUCAAAUUGAGAUGUGCGAGUCGACUUCGAUGAAUUAUGUUUUCUAGAAGAUACGAUCGUCAUUCGCCAAGUCUUCAAGAAGAUAAUAAACUAUAAACAUGGGCGGAGUGUUGUAGUUCUGGUCUUACUAUGCCUUGUCACCGAGCCUUCAAACAAAUAUUGUCAAUAAAAAUAUUGUCAAUAAAAUGUCUUCAACA